GGAGUGAUAAGAGAUAGAGUUGACAGAAGAGAGUGAGCACACAAAGGCAAAUUGUACCAAUUUGUGUUGUAUGAUUGUUUUGGGUGCUCAUGAUCUAUCUGUCAGCUUCUUCUUACUCUAUUU
rnacentral:pre_miRNA from 1 species